GAGGAUGAGAACCUCCGGGGGCAAGAGGUUCGACUCGAGCGAAGCGAGAGAACGUUGCGUCAGCAACGGCCCGCAGGGCGAGCCACGCAGUGGCGAGUCAUCCUC
rnacentral:sRNA from 3 species